rnacentral:sRNA from 1 species
CCUGUUUUCAGUGUAAAUAGCUGAUAUCUCUCUUCCCUUCUGUUUUUGAAGCAUCUAGUCCUGAGGCAAAGUAGACAAAAAUAGCUUGAACAGUAGCCUCCGGUUGUCUUGAGAGGACAGAAUGGAUGCUUUCAUCCUAAAGUAGCAAUGUCUGAUUGUCAGGGGGCUUCUGCCACAGGACUGUUAUUUACCAGUUAACUGCUGGUGACUCAUCCACGCUGACUGCGGGACAAAUUCUUUCCAUAGAAAACUCUGGGGUGUGUGUGUGUGUGUGUGUGUGUGUGUGUGUGUGUGCACGCACGUGUGCCGGGGAGCCACUAUGUAGUGUUUUCCUGUAGAGAAAUCGUUUCUGACAAUGAAUAGACACCAGCUGGUCCUCAGCUCCCGGAGUCUUUCUAGACCCCCUGCAGUUUGUCCGCAGAGGUGCCCAGGUUUGUUCAGAAAAACUGUCUUUCGGAGUAAAAAAGUGAUAGAACCAGUGCCAUUUUCAGUGUCAGGUGCAUCUGUGAAAAACUGGGCUUGAGCUAGAAAUCCAAAGAAUUCACAGUGACAUCCAGCGGGGGAAAAGGGUGGGGAGAGAGAGAUGUCAGCCGCCCAGCCUUUUGUUUUAUUUAUUUGUUGUGUUGUGCUGGGGAUUAGAAACCAGGUCUUCAGCCUGGCUAGUCCUCAGCUUUCAGCUGAAUAACACGAGAUCCUUGGAGAGCCAGGCUUAAGUGCCGCACUGAUCCAUUUACGCAACAAGCGUAACAGAAUACGUUCACCUGCUCCGCUCAUCGAUGAAGCUAAUUCCAGCUCUCUGCAGCUGAUUUUGCUUGUCAACAUCUCUUUACUGGCUGAGGGUGAUUAGGGCAAGGAAAGAAGACAAGUGCAGAUUUCGAGGGGGACGAGAAGGGCUUGUCUCCUCCUGGGAUGCUCUUGAAUGGGGCAUCCCUGGGCACUGAAGUUGGUUUCCUUCUCCAGCUUGGCUCAUGGGUCUGAAAUGGAGGCUAGAAAAACCACUUUUGGCCUCCUCAGUACUUACACUCGGGCUGGCCACUGAUGUGGGAAGGGCUGCACUAGGCAGAAAUAGUGUGGGUGAAGGGUGUCACCGAAGAGACAACACAGAAGCUGCAAAGGGACAGACUGAGAGAGUCAAGCUAUCAAUAGUAAAGUCUGAGUCACAGAUGUAGGAAUGCCACAGCUGCCCCAGCUCCUGCUUCCUUUACACAACAGAAAGCCAGUGGGCAAGACCUGCCCCAGAUGACGACAGUGAAGAAAUGAGUGCUUUCCCUUCCUUCUCCUCAGCCCCACCAAUUCGUGUCAGCCAGCGGCAGCCUCUGAGUCAAAGCCGAGGCAGGUUGGUCGUCUCCGUUCCUCUCCGUUCCCCUGGCUCUCUUAGACCCAACACGUUAAAAUAUUUGCAGUAAAUACCGUCUAAUACUGGCUGUGCAUUCUGGUUCUGAAGGAUGUGUUGGCUGGCCAUCUGCUCAUCUCCCUGAGUGGCACAAUGCCUGUCUUUUUGUCUCUUGCUUAUCCACAUCUCUCCCACACAGGCGGAGGUACACAAUGGGUGUGUGAGGCUGGAUCUGGGAGACAGGUGCAGCCUUGUGAACCAGGAAGUCCUCUGCUGGCACACCUGCCUGUGACCUGCUAGGUCACAGAGCCAAAGCCCGGAGCUGCCCUCUCGUUGGCGGCGGCGUGCACUACCCUCCUGCACGUCAAGUUAGGUCAGUCCUGGAAGCAGGAGUAGCAUCGAGCACUGUUUGCUCCUUAAUUGUGACUAGAGUUUCUCCCUCACACAACACAACCACGCGGUUUAAGAGGAAUAUGCUGAAACAGCAGAGGGAAAACAGAAGCUAGAAUCUUCCCCAACUGGAGAAGUCAGAUUUUAAUUUCUAUCUUGGAUAAGGAAUUGGAUCCUGAAAGGCUCUCUGUUAGGGUUCUCUCUGUCCCCAUUCCCCUCUUCUAUUCUCCUGCUCCAACCCCCAUUCACAAAUAAAAGUGUGUGUGUGUGUGUGUGUGUGUGUGCGUGUGUGUAAAAUCUCAAAUGGCAUUACUCAGAAAGAAAUGAACUUGGAGGGGCCUUGGCAAUAUCUUUCUAUUAAGGCCAAUUUUACUUACUCAGUUUGCCCAAAAGAGGCUAUAAUCAGGAUUGAAAGCAGCUGUCAUAGGACACUAACAAGCUAACAAUUGACGAGUUUACUUAUGGGAACAGUCCCUGGCAGCGUGUGGCUUGGCCUCCUUCCUCCCCCGGCAAUCAUUUAUCAGACCCUGGGAGGGGGGCCAGGGCUCGGGAACAUUUUCCCCCCGCGGCAGGAAUGCAAGGUGGUGUCAGUGACCGGAGAUUAGGGCGCUGGAAUUUUGCAUUUGCUACCGCAGCAGCUGGAGCGAGUGGUUUCAGCCAGAAGACAGCGUCCGGGAGCAGGGCGCGGCCACCGUGGGGGCGGGCGUGGGAGCCGCGGCGGGGGCGGGACUUCGCGAGGCUGCCCGGUCUUGGCGUGUGGGUGCCGGGGGCGUCUCCUCGCAGCCUCCGCAGAGGCCAUCGGUCUGCGUGCACGCCUAGAGUUCAUUCCUGUUGCUUUCGGUGCCCUCAGCCAAGGACCCGGUUGCCAUGGUGAAAGAAAAAGACCCUUCUGGAGUGGAAUUAGAUUCUCAGGUCAGAAGUGAUCCUAUCAGAGCUGCCAGAGGACCAUCCGAUGGUCAUUUUUCUGACGUUAAAGGAGCACUUCGGUCCUGCUCUCUGACAAGCUUGUGAUCGCUGUGGCUUCUCCUGUGGGACAUCCCCCCCCACACCAGCACAGACAUAGCUGCUCUUCACCCUGUCUCGAACCAUCUCAAUGACUUCUCUAUUUCUACUUUCUGUGUGUGAGACACAGUGCUACACUUGGGUCGUGGCUGGAAUUUGAGCUUGGUUCUACUGUGCUGAGGGUUGGGUUGAGCAUUGUGCCUGCUUUGGCAGUGAGGAGGCCGCACCCCAGGACCAAGGGACUACUCCAUUCACCCACCGCUGGGGACCUUUGAUGCUCAACCUGCUUUUGCCCUGAUCUCUCGGUGAAUAGACGGUGGUACAAAUAAGGAUGCUUCCUGGUUGUGUCUCCUUUAUUUGGGGGACCUCCAGUGCAAAAUCCAGACACUGGCAUUUGCUGGAAGCUGGGACACCUUCCACCCAACCAGAAUAGCAUGGCCCAGGUCUCUGCAGCUAAUGGAUUUGAGUUCGUGUCCCAGUGUAUGUAAUUUAUUUAUGAGUGGUAGAGAUUUCAAAAGCCACCUGUCUACUUUGUUCCUGUGGAGCUUCUGACAGCCCAGACCUCUGGUACGUGGUAUAGAUCACAGAUUGGGAGUGUUCAAAUAGCAUCUUUCCUAAGCCUCGCAUAGAUUACCUAUGUCCAUGCUUGGGCUCUCUAGCUGGAACUCUCUGGGCAGGCUCCCAGGAGAUCACAUGCUAGCGUUAUCUUAGCCCUCGGCCACUGAUUAGAGGCUGUUCUUUCUUAUUUUGAGGUCUUUGUCAGUUCAUGCCGAUGCUCCCCAGCUCUGACCACACUGGCUGCAGCCCAUAGCGGAGAAAAGCAGGAUUUCUUUGGGUGGUUUAUACAAGAGUUCCAGGAAAAGAAAGGAAGGAACUAUAAAGUGAAAUAAAUGGGCACUGGGAGAUGGGCAAGCCGGGGAGUCAGAAAGGGUAAGGAAGCGGCUCAAGGCCACACAGCCAAUAAUUGGACCACGUGACAUAAUGUAUGCAGAUAAAGGGACCGCUCUUACCACAGCCCAGUGUGGACAGCCUUUCCACUAUCUCCCUCUUUUAGCAUUUCAGUACCUGGGUUAGCAUCUGAAGUACAGAGACGCUCUGAGAGAGGAAACAGGUCUAUCAGAACUGCCAGGAAACCUGUGCCUUUUGGCGUCUGGAAUGUUCCUGGCACCACAUUCUUUUUGCUUUGCCCUGCCCCCUGAGACUGAUGGGGACCCUGUGGCAGGCUCAAAAGCACCCUGGUGUCCAUGCCAUAGAGCUAGGCAGGCCUCUGGCUCCCUGCUGUGCUCACUACAGAUGCACAGGCUGCUUCGUAAGUCAUUUCCCCAGCCUCUCUGCUUGGGCCUGACACAGGCUGCAGAGAAGUCCCACACUCCGCCAGCAUGGCUGGCCCUGGCGAGGACCAUCUGCAGCUCACACCCUUUGACCUUCAUCAUCUUUGUUCUCCUGACCAGACACCCAUUCUCUCGCACUUGCAGACACUAAUCGAUCUCAGAAUCUUGAUGAAGUGGUUGUUUCCCCAAGGUGUUCAAGGGCUCCUUAUCCUUGCUUGUACCCUCUAACGAAGAAGCAACGAAGGUUUCUGGGGGUUUAUCCAUCAAUAUCUGUCUUCUUGAAGACAAUGCACACUUGCCACCAUUCACCCCGGGGACCCACUGUGCUCAUUUAAAAGCUGUAAUUGGCUAACUGAUACCUGUUCUGGCACAGUUUCUAAACUAAUCUGUUUCUUUUUUGUUGUUGUUGUUUGUGUGUUUGUUUGUGGGGGGGAGUGAUAAGUAAACCCCAGAGAUAAAGUUAUAAACAUAUCUCAUUUAAAUAAUAAAGGUGAUUAUGGGUUGGA